GAUGAACGCUAGCGGCAGGCCUAACACAUGCAAGUCGAGGGAGGAGCCUUCGGGCUUCGACCGGCGUACGGGUGCGUAACGCGUAUACAAUCUGCCUUUCACAUAGGGAUAGCCCGAAGAAAUUUGGAUUAAUACCUAAUGGUAUAUAGAUGUGGCAUCACCUUUAUAUUAAAGCUGAGGCGGCGAAAGAUGAGUAUGCGUUCUAUUAGCUAGUUGGAGAGGUAACGGCUCCCCAAGGCGACGAUAGAUAGGGGUUCUGAGAGGGAUAUCCCCCACACUGGUACUGAGAUACGGACCAGACUCCUACGGGAGGCAGCAGUGAGGAAUAUUGGACAAUGGUCGGAAGACUGAUCCAGCCAUGCCGCGUGCAGGAAGACGGCCUUAUGGGUUGUAAACUGCUUUUGCAGGGGAAGAAUAAGGACUACGCGUAGUUUGAUGACGGUACUCUGCGAAUAAGCAUCGGCUAACUCCGUGCCAGCAGCCGCGGUAAUACGGAGGAUGCGAGCGUUAUCCGGAAUCAUUGGGUUUAAAGGGUCCGUAGGCGGGCUAAUAAGUCAGAGGUGAAAGCGCUCAGCUCAACUGAGCAACUGCCUUUGAAACUGUUAGUCUUGAAUGGUUGUGAAGUAGUUGGAAUGUGUAGUGUAGCGGUGAAAUGCUUAGAUAUUACACAGAACACCGAUAGCGAAGGCAUAUUACUAACAAUUAAUUGACGCUGAUGGACGAAAGCGUGGGGAGCGAACAGG
rnacentral:rRNA from 1 species